CACCAGACACUCACAGACCUGCUGUAGUGCUCGAGCCGUGUGCACACUGUGGUGUCAGCGGUGGUGUAAAAGAGUGAGGAUCACAGCAGCAUCUAAAAGGACCAGAGUGACGUCUGCAGAGAUGAAUGUCUCCUCCACAUGAGAGCUGACAGGGAGGGAGAAGGCUCCUGCUGCGAGGUGGCCAAUCCAAACUACAGCCCUGUAGCCCGGCUCCCCGGCGGCCCCGGCGGGCCCCGCAGUGGAACAUAUAUCUGACAAGACUGUGUUUGGCUUACACCUCCAGGUCAUGGUUGGCUACAGAUGGGGAUCUCGGGGCUGGUGUGGAUCCAGUGUCUUACUCAGGGACACUUCAGAGGUUCUGCCUUCAAGGUCUUCCUGAGAACCUCCCUCCAUGUGAUCAUGUGACCCCUGGUAUCUGAUAAAUGCCCCACCAGGCCACGCCCAUUCCUUCUCCUCCUUGCCAGCAGCGCUGUUGUCCUCCACCAGCACAUGCCUCCUUUGUUCUUCUCUUCCAUUAGUUUUAUGUGCAAUAAACUUUACUUA